CACGGAGGAUGCCUUGGUGUCAGGAGGCGAAGAAGGACGUAGAAGGCUGCGAAAAGCUACGGGGAGCUGCCAAACGAGCGAUAAUCCGUAGAUAUCCGAAUGGGGAAACCCACCGAGGGUCAUGCCUCGGUAACAUUCCUCAGGGAAUGUGGCGAACGAGGGGAAGUGAAACAUCUAAGUACCCUCAGGAAGAGAAAACAAAAGUGAUUCCCCGAGUAGUGGCGAGCGAAAGGGGAGAAGCCCAAAACUAUUUCUGCGUGAUAGCGUGCUUGCGUUGCAGGGAUGGGGUUGUAGGGUCUAUCGAGGUGGAGAGCACUUCACCAGGGUUGAUGAGAGAAGUCAGUCGAGCGGACUGGAAAGUCCGGCCAGAGAGGGUGAAAGCCCCGUAGGCGAAGACUUUGAACAGACUCAGAUAGAUACCUGAGUACGGUGGGACACGGGAAACCCCGCCGGAAUCUGGGAGGACCAUCUUCCAAGGCUAAAUACUACCUGAUGACCGAUAGUG
rnacentral:rRNA from 1 species